rnacentral:rRNA from 1 species
GGGGAAUAUUGCACAAUGGGCGCAAGCCUGAUGCAGCCAUGCCGCGUGUGUGAAGAAGGCCUUCGGGUUGUAAAGCACUUUCAGCGAGGAGGAAGGGUUCAGUGUUAAUAGCACUGUUCAUUGACGUUACUCGCAGAAGAAGCACCGGCUAACUCCGUGCCAGCAGCCGCGGUAAUACGGAGGGUGCAAGCGUUAAUCGGAAUUACUGGGCGUAAAGCGCACGCAGGCGGUUUGUUAAGUCAGAUGUGAAAUCCCCGAGCUUAACUUGGGAACUGCAUUUGAAACUGGCAAGCUAGAGUCUUGUAGAGGGGGGUAGAAUUCCAGGUGUAGCGGGGAAAUGCGUAGAGAUCUGGAGGAAUACCGGUGGCGAAGGCGGCCCCCUGGACAAAGACUGACGCUUAGGUGCGAAAGCGUGGGGAGCAAACA